rnacentral:lncRNA from 1 species
AGGUGGACUGCAGGAAUUUUUUUGUCUUGGGACUGUGCUAUCCAGUGACAAAAGGAUCUUAUUGCUACCCGAAGAUUUUGUUUUUCCCUCCAUAGCCUGUAUUGUGAUGGGACAAACAACCAAGCUCCCUCAGGACUGUGUGAACCUGGCUACUUCUGUACAGGAGGUGCCAAAAGUGCUCUUCAGCAAGUGGUGAUGGAGGGACAUUAUUCCUUAACAGGAGCUUUCAAGCCAGAGCCGUGUCCUCUUGGCAGCUUCCAGCCUGGCCGUGGUCAGUCUCUUUGUAGGGAGUGUCCAGAGGGUACAUUCUGCAAUGAGACAGGCCUGGCUGCACCCC